GACAGAGGAUGCAAGCGUUAUCCGGAAUGAUUGGGCGUAAAGCGUCUGUAGGUGGCUUUUCAAGUCCGCCGUCAAAUCCCAGGGCUCAACCCUGGACAGGCGGUGGAAACUGCCAAGCUGGAGUACGGUAGGGGCAGAGGGAAUUUCCGGUGGAGCGGUGAAAUGCGUAGAGAUCGGAAAGAACACCAGCGGCGAAAGCACUCUGCUGGGCCGACACUGACGCUGAGAGACGAAAGCUAGGGGAGCGAAUGGG
rnacentral:rRNA from 1 species